UGUACACGCUCUGCGACAAACAGUGCAGCCGCGAACCAGUCUAGCCAGAGGUUACCUUUCGGUGCACCCUGGGUUGCACGCUGGCUUAAUGGGCUAGACACUGACAGGUAUUGUUUUAAGCACGAACACCGUCAUAAAGAUUCGAUGUUUUGCCUUGCACUGACAUUGUGAACAUUGUGCAUUUUGUAAUUACAAAUGUGAAUUAUAAGGCAGAAAGGUUAACCAUGAGCCAGCGCGGCGCCUGGCUGACGGCCUCACUCAGCGGGCUUGCGCAGUUUUUGCGCCGCUUAUCUUUAAGCCGCGCAAACAACAUAACAUUGUCGGUCAACGGUGUAUAAGCACAUGCCAUUCUGUCUCUCUCGUCACUUGUGUUCCUCGUUUCGUCCGGUCGUCGGCCGCGGCCGCGGGCUUUUCAGCAUCGCUCGUCGUCCGGUCGUGGCUGCCGCGGUUGUGACAGCGAGCACAGGGCGAGACACACCAAGAGAGAUACAGAGAAAGACAGACAGAGACACAGCGACACGGCGCAUAAUAAUGCAUUUUACGGUUACAUAGAAUGUGCGCAUAUGAAUUAUUUCUACCGAUAGAUGGCGCGAGGAUGUCAUAUUUCACGUAACUAUGAUUCCCUGUGCGCGUGUAUGCACACCAGUUUGCGUGAUAAAUGCAUUUAUCCUG